rnacentral:lncRNA from 1 species
AAAGUGAGCUUAACUUGUGACGUCAAAACAUGGCAUGAGAUCAUGGGGCACUGUAAUGUUGAUGAUGUGUUGAAAUUGCCUAAACUGGUAGAGGGUAUGGAGAUCACCGGUAAUACCAAACUAGACUGCAAUGUAUGUACUGAGGGAAAGUUCAUCAACAGCAGAAAUAGGAAAACUGACACAAAGGCUGGUGAGGCUCUAGAGUUAGUACAUACUGACUUAGCAGGCCCCAUUGAACCACCUUCUCAAGAAGGAUAUAAAUAUGCAAUCUCAUUUACAGAUGAUUUUUCAGGAGCAAUAGCUGUUUACUUCCUUAAGAACAAGAGUGACACAACAUUAGCAACAGAAAAGUUCUUGGCAGACAGUGCCCCAUACGGUAGAGUCAAAUGCAUAAGAUCAGACAAUGGCACAGAAUACAAAGGCAAUGCAUUUCAGUCACUUGUACGAGAAAAGGGGAUAAGACAUGAGACAUCAUCCCCUUACUCUCCUCAUCAAAAUGGUACUGCUGAGAGACAAUGGCGAACCAUCUUUGAAAUGGGAAGGUGUCUGUUAAUAGAGAAAGGAUUGCCAAAGGUCCUGUGGCCGCUGGCUGUCCAGGCUGCAGCUCACAUUCGAAACAGAUGCUAUAAUGACAGAAUUAAGAGAACACCAUACUUCAUGAUGACAGGAAGGAAGCCAAACCUUUCCAAAAUGUGGAUUUUUGGAUCAGACUGCUAUGCAUACAAACACGACCAUAGGAAAUUGGAUCCUAGGUGUGAAAAAGGGAUGUUUGUUGGCUAUAGUAAGAAUAGCCCAGCUUAUCUGGUGUACAAUCCACAGACAGGAAAGAUUUCAAAACACAGAUUGGUGAAGUUUGUUAGGAAGAACAGCACUGAAAAACAGACACAAACUGAUGAAGAUGAGUUAGAAAUCCAGAGCAACAAUAACAGAAAACCUGAUAGCAAGAACAGUGAUGGUGUUUCACAAAGUGAGGGAAACACAGAGGACCAGGUCCUAGACGCAAACAAGGAGAGUGUUAAUGCUGAGAACACAGAGGUGUCUGGAUCUGAUGAAACUUUGGAAAAAGUAGCCAUAGAAGAUGAGAAAAACAAUGCUGGGCCAUUGACAACAAUUAGUCAAAAACAUGAAUACUCAAAAAGGGAAAGGAAAGCCCAGAGAUAUUUAGAAGACUUUGUGAAGUGCUCCAAAGAGGAUGUAACAAAUGUGAGUGUUGAUUAU